CCUACGGGAGGCAACAGUGAGGAAUAGUGGGCAAUGGGCGCGAGCCUGAACCAGCCAAGGCGCGUGAGGGAUGAAGGUGCUAUGGAUGGUAAACCUCUUUUAUAAGGGAAUAAAGUGUGGGACGUGUCCGAUUUUGUAUGUACCUUAUGAAUAAGGAUCGGCUAACUCCGUGCCAGCAGCCGCGGUAAUACGGAGGAUCCGAGCUUUAUCCGGAUUUAUUGGGUUUAAAGGGUGCGUAGGCGGCCUUUUAAGUCAGCGGUGAAAGUCUGUGGCUCAACCAUAGAAUUGCCGUUGAACCUGGCGGGCUUGAGUAUGUUUGAGGCAGGCGGAAUGCGUGGUGUAGCGGUGAAAUGCUUAGAUAUCACGCAGAACCCCGAUUGCGAAGGCAGCCUGCCAAGCCAUGACUGACGCUGAUGCACGAAAGCGUGGGGAUCAAACAGGAUUAGAUACCCGGGUAGUC
rnacentral:rRNA from 1 species